CAGUCUUUCGCUUCUUUGAUUGCUUCAACAAAUUUUAUAUCAUCUUAUAAAAAACUUAUAGCAAAGCAUGCUUCUCUAUAUAUAGGAUAUUGAACAUUAGCAAUCUUUCUGAUAUCCUCAAAUGAGAUUGAUCAUUUGCAAACAGUUAGCAUCAUCCUUAAGUACAAUAAUUCUCCUGUAGUUGGUGGGACCCAUAAUGGCCUCUCAAUAGUGUAUCCUUUUUUUCUAAGUUGCCAAGAUCUUUCUUUUUAAUUAUAUACGAACUUAAACUAAUUUUGCAUAAGUAAGAGUUCUUCCUUUAGCAAAGUUUUUGUUGUUGUUCAUCCAAGAAAUAAACUUUGAAUCAAAGAUGCUUGGCUUAGACAAGACAUCGUUAAUAUCAUCAAGAUCUUGGUAAAAAAUACUAUGUUGUCC
rnacentral:lncRNA from 1 species